rnacentral:rRNA from 1 species
AGCAGCCGCGGUAAUUCCAGCUCCAAUAGCGUAUAUUAAAGUUGUCGCAGUUAAAAAGCUCGUAGUUGAAUUUCGGGAUCAGUACGCCGGUCGUGCCUCCGGUAUGUACUGGUGUCACUGAUUCCUCCCUUCUGAAGAACCAUCAUGCCAUUCACUUGGUGUGGUGGGGAAUCAGGACUGUUACUUUGAAAAAAUUAGAGUGUUUAAAGCAGGCUCACGCUUGAAUACAUUAGCAUGGAAUAAUGAAAUAGGACGUUGAUCCUAUUUUGUUGGUUUCUAGGAUUGACGUAAUGAUUAAUAGGGAUAGUUGGGGGCAUUAGUAUUCAAUUGUCAGAGGUGAAAUUCUUGGAUUUAUUGAAGACUAACUACUGCGAAAGCAUUUGCCAAGGAUGUUUUCAUUAAUCAAGAACGAAAGUUAGGGGAUCGAAGACGAUCAGAUACCGUCGUAGUCUUAACCAUAAACUAUGCCGACUAGGGAUCGGAUGAUGUUAAUUUUUUAAUGACUC